GGGGUUGUGGCUCAGAGGUAGAGCAAUUGCCUAUCAUGCAUGAGACACUGGGUUCGAUUCUCAACACCA
rnacentral:tRNA from 1 species